UACGUAGGGGGCGAGCGUUGUCCGGAUUUAUUGGGCGUAAAGAGCGUGUAGGCGGUUCGGUAAGUCUGUCGUGAAAUCCUGAGGCUCAACCUCGGGCGUGCGAUGGAUACUGCCGGGCUAGAGGGUGGAAGAGGCGAGUGGAAUUCCUGGUGUAGCGGUGGAAUGCGCAGAUAUCAGGAGGAACACCAAUGGCGAAGGCAGCUCGCUGGGACGGUACUGACGCUAAGGCGCGAAAGCGUGGGGAGCAAACAGG
rnacentral:rRNA from 1 species